GCCAUGACACUUCACACAUAUACAUGUGAUUGAACGUGUACUGGGCGCGAGACACUAUCGUGUCUCCUGAUCAAAUUUAUUACGUACAACUUUUUUUUUUCUACCUAAUAAUUAUAUUGACUUUCAAUUGCGAGUCAUCCAUUAUAGUAAAGUUCGUAUUGGGAUUUAUUUGGAACUUUACUGCAUUGUACGAUUGCACAAUUAUUAUUCUUUUCAUUAAUGGCUAAAAACAAGAUCCAAAAAAUAGGUUAUUUGAUGUGAAAGACAAUUAGUCAGUAAAAAAUUAAAAAAUUAAUUGACGAUACUGGUGGAUAGCUUUUUAACUCUUACACUCACACUGGCCCUCGCGGUUUUGGAAAUACCGAAAUAAUACCGGAAUUAUACGGUAUAAAUACUGCAUAAAUAUGGUAUUACUCGAGUUAUUUUAGCCAGUUUUUUUAUCGCAUUAUUACCAAAAAUUUACGAAAUAAAUUCCUAAUAUUUACGGUAAUAAAACAGAAAAAAUACGGUAUUUUCACAGAAUUAAAACAGUAAUUAUACAGCAUAUUUAUAGUAUAUUUUCGGCAUUUUUGCAGCAUCAAACCGUUCUACCCGUAAAAAAAUUUAUAUAUAAUUAUAUAAAAUUUUAUUCAGUUAUAUCUAAUUUUAUAUAAUUAUGUAGAACCUUAUAAAGUUAUAUAUUAAAUAACUGUCAUGAAAAAAAAAAAAAUAAAUAAAUAAAAACACCCGUUAACUCGUGGACUCGAUCCCGAGACCUAUUUUAUUAACACCAAAUUAUUACGGUAAAUUUACGGCAUGUGCAUAAAUGCCGAAAAUUUACGGCAUUCGCAAAACUGCGAGGGGGCUUACGUGAAAAAUUAUAAGACAUACAAUGUUAGUGAAUUACAUGCAAAAAUUGGGAUGUAAAAUCUCCAAGAAAUUGUCUGAGCGGCUGCUACUGAAAGCAAUUUACCAUGCCUUAACUAAUUUGUUAAUUAACUUUUCCUCCUUCUCUAACUUUUCAUUGAGUCUCAAUUUUCUUUUAACGCUUAACUAAUCAUUUUUUCAUUAAAAGUUGCAAGAGAAUAGAUAUAUUUUUAACUUUCAUGUAUUGAAACAAACCAAUAUAUCUUUUAACAAGUUUAUCAAAAGCUUUGAAGAAAAUUAACGACGUAAUGCUCGAUCUAGAUUCACAUAUGCUUCGUGUCAUUCUUACUGGAACUCCUAAUUAAAAUUUAGCUUGACUAAUAAUUUCGGAUAAUUUUCAAUAAUUUUUUUUGAUGUUAUUUUUUUAUUUUUAUUCAUAUUAUCACAAAUAAAUUAACAUAAAAAUUUAAUAUAUUAAUAUUUUUUUA